AGGUUAAGGUAAGCCAAUCAGAGGCUGAGUAGGACGGGACAUUCCUUCGCCAUCCUAGGAAAAGUAAGUUCUCCAUCCAGCUAGAAUCCAUCGGAAUCCAUGCCAUAUACCGAUUGUCCGAGACCAUUUAAACAUGGAAGCUUCCAGCACAUUACAUGCAACGAGGGACGUUGCCUGCCAGACCGACCCACCACCGAGAGAUAAUGCUGGUACACAAUUGUCUUUGCAGACUCUUAGGCAUCACUACAGAACUACAGAUGUCCAGGCUAAUGUGUCCUGCAAAGACUCUGGUGUUGGCACAUCCACAACAAUAAAGAGACCGUCGAAGAGACCUCGUUUGGCCAUUGAGGAGGAGGAGAAAGAGGAAGAUUUAAUUGAGGGCAUCUAUCCAAUGGUGGAUUCAGAAAAGCUGGAUCCAGCCGGUGACCCUGCAGAGUCGGUCACAGCUUUAACAGAGUCUACAGACAUGCUUGGUGAAGCAGCCAGUCCCACCCAUAAGAUCAAGAAAUACAUAGUGUACGAGACCUGCAUUAUGGAGCUGUUUGAGGUGUGUCCUGUGUGCCAGCGGGCAUGUGAUGUUCGAACCCGAAGGAUUGGUACAUUCCUAUCAGUGGAACAGCUGUGCCCCCAUUGUCAGUACUCGCGACACUGGAAUAGCCAACCCGUUCUGGGAAGUACUCCAGCCGGGAACCUCCAGCUUUCUGCGGCAGUGUAUGUCAGUGGAGCAUCUUUCUUCAAAAUUGAAAAGAUCUUCAAAGCAAUGCAACUGCAGAUUUUCCAGUAUGAUACCUUUUGUCGACAUGCAAAAAUGUUCAUCGAGCCAGCUGUUGUGAACAAGUGGAAAACAUCACAGGAUGUGAUUCUACAGCGGCUCAGUGAAGAGGACAAAGUGAUAGUUGGUGGUGACAUGAAGGCUGUGUCACCAGGGCACUCUGCUAAGUUUGGUAACUACACUAUGAUGGACCUCAAGACCAACACCGUCGUUGAUAUCCAAUUGGUUCAGAGCAAUGAGGAACUCCUGCCUUCUACAAGCUAGAGAAGGUGAUGACAAAUAAGAGGAUGUUGAAGGAUGUCUCAAAACUGAGCCCCCACCCCCAGACUUCAUCUUUGGAGGAUUUCCAUCGGGCCAUUCCACGUUUUGCUCCUAAAAGCAUUGAGUUUCCAUUUCUUGGAUUGCUGUGCAGACUCUACCUGGCUGGCCUUUAUUACAAUGAAAAUGCUGACCGGAUGGCAGAAUGCAGUGCAAAACCAGUGAAGACAAAGCCGACGUUCCGAUAUGUGGAUGACUUAAUGGACCUCAUCUUUGAGAAAGUCUUUGUGGACCCGUCACCUUACCUGGAUGAGGUUUUGAAGAUUUCCAUCCCAGAGGACCUGUGUGCACAAAAUGAUCGGCCAGAUACGGAGAAGGUCAUCGCCAGUGUCCCGGUUCAAUGAAGCGGCAGUCUGAACCAUGCUGAGCUGCUUUGGGAUCAGAAACUCCCUGUGGAUAUGAAGAACUAGGCUGGACAAUAUAUUCAGUGAUGUAAACAUCUAUCUAUAGGUUCAGUGAAUCCUUGAGACUCCCCCUUUCUAUUUUUUUUAUGCAUGAGUUAUCAUGUUAUUAUCAUGUUGUGACAAAACCGUACAACACUGCAUAGUGCAACUACUGAUGAAUGUGAUAACACUACAUACUUUGCAUUGUCUGUAAAAUGCCUCAUGUGAGUUCAUGUUAAAUUUGCACAUUAUGUGAGUUCAUGUUUAAUGUGCACACUAUCUACUGAUAGAAAAAAAAACAUAUACUCUAAAACAUAUAUGUUCUGAAUUCGGAAUAUUAUUCAACUAUAACUUGGGGGUGUUAAUGGUGUUGUGACCAUUGUAAUUUCAAGCACACCGAAGUAAUGUAAAGCAAGACAGCAUACAAUCUUACAUUUUAUUUUCAUGAACAGCAUUGGUUGUAAUACAGUUUGAUUACACUAUACUAUUUUUUAAAUAAUAAACAUCUGUAUAUUGGGCUUUAAUAAGGGGAUUUAAGGCAAAACUAUUGGUUGGUUUUGCAAUACUCAUGUAAUCAUGCAGCUGUUAUACAUCGAGGCACAGUGAAAAGCCCAUUUUGCUCUACCUUUUUAAACUAAUACUUACCAGCCAGGUUCCUUUUAAUGUACCAUUUACUGAAUUGCAUAUCUAUAAUCACACAUUGGGCUAAUGUGGAUGUCUUAAUUUACGGUUACGUGACGUUAGGUAAUCUUGUCAGGAUUGUUUUGCUCUCACAGCCACGAGGUUUCCUGCCAGCUUUGUGUCUGUUUUUU